rnacentral:rRNA from 1 species
UACGUAGGGGGCUAGCGUUGUCCGGAAUCAUUGGGCGUAAAGCGCGCGUAGGCGGCCCGGUAAGUCCGCUGUAAAAGUCAAAGGCUCAACCUUUGAAUGUCAGUGGAUACUGCCGGGCUAGAGUCCGGAGGAGGCGAGUGGAACUCCUGGUGUAGCGGUGGAAUGCGCAGAUAUCAGGAAGAACACCGACGGCGAAGGCAGCUCGCUGGGACGGUACUGACGCUGAGGCGCGAAAGCGUGGGGAGCGAACAGG